AGAUGCGAUCAUACCAGCACUAAAGCACCGGAUCCCAUAAGAACUCCGAAGUUAAGCUUGCUUGGGCGAGAGUAGUACUAGGAUGGGUGACCUCCUGGGAAGUCCUCGUGUUGCAUUCC
rnacentral:rRNA from 1 species